UUUUGCUUUGUGAAUCGCAGGAUGGCCGGCUCAACCACUGCUUCAGCACCUGCGAGCGGGGUGAUCUUAGCAUGGUAUGUCGAAUCCGGAGGACCGACGUUGGUGACCGUCCUAUGCAAAGUCAGCGGUGCGGCAGGCAGUUCACGGAAAAUAGCAGAGAUGGCUGGAUAAUUCAGGUCCCCAGGGGUAGCCAUUGUGUGCUUGCAAGUCUGAUUGGACUUGGUGAACACCUUCAGCUCCAAUGGAGUCAGCUUCUGGGUACAGAGGAACUCGACGUAAUCAGCCGGACUGAUGUCAUAAACCAAACCAGGGUCGAGCGCUUUCAUUGGCCGUAUAUGGCCAGCACCAUGAUCAUAUGGGGUUGAGGGGCUGCCGGUGGCGGCGUCUUUGAGUGGGCGAUAAGUAUUGUCAUGUACAUAGGCAGUUGUCAUGAGAGCCGACUUGAUUGCAGCCGGGCUCCAAUUUGGAUGGCUGGCCUUGAUCAAUGCGGCAAUGCCGGCAACGUGCGGGCAUGACAUCGACGUCCCCGACAAGAUGUUGAAGCCGACGCGCCGGGGAUCACUAGCCAGGCUAGAUGGACUGGUGAGCCCGGUCCAUGCGGCUAGUAUGUUCACUCCCGGAGCCACCAAGUCAGGUUUCAGAACUUCGAGUGUCAAUAUGUUGGGACCUCUGGAGGAGAACGCCGCCACCACCGGUGAUGGCCGGAUACCCACCUUGGUCCCUUGGAAUGAUAGAGUCGCCGUCGGACUCCGGCGAGAACUCAUUUUACUGUAGUCCUUGAUUACAUUGCCG
rnacentral:misc_RNA from 1 species